rnacentral:rRNA from 1 species
GACGUAGGGCGCGAGCGUUGUCCGGAUUUAUUGGGCGUAAAGAGCUCGUAGGCGGCUUGUUGCGUCGACUGUGAAAACCCGUGGCUCAACCAUGUGGUCUGCAGUCGAUACGGGCAGGCUAGAGUUCGGUAGGGGAGAUCGGAAUUCCUGGUGUAGCGGUGAAAUGCGCAGAUAUCAGGAGGAACACCGGUGGCGAAGGCGGAUCUCUGGGCCGAUACUGACGCUGAGGAGCGAAAGCGUGGGGAGCGAACAGG